GUGCUCGCUUCGGCAGCACAUAUACUAAAAUUGGAACGAUACAGAGAAGAUUAGCAUGGCCCCUGCACAAGGAUGACACCAUAUACAGGGGGAGGAGGUCCCCCUCAGU